UGCCUAUUAGCUAGCCCCACCAACCAAACUCAACAAGCAAACAUAAAUAAACCCAAAAACACUUUAAACUCAACAAACAAAGCAUUUUCCCUCCUAAGUAUG
rnacentral:rRNA from 1 species